GUACCUUUAGUUUUCAAGAAACCUCUAAACUGUCUUUCAAAGUGAUUGUACCAUUUUAUAUUCCCACCAGUAAUGCAUGGGAGUUAGUGUUCACAUUCUCACCAGCAUUUGAUAUUAUCACUGUUUGGAUUUUGGCAUCUAUGUUUAUGGUGAUUUGAAGAAGAAAACAGAAGAGAAAUGACUUUUUAUGUCUAUGUGAUUUGAGAUCACAUAGACAUAGUUUGAAUAACAGCUCUUUAUCAAAUGUAUCAUUUUUCUCUUUUUUUUUGAGAUGGAGUCUCACUCUGUCACCCAGGCUGGAGUGAAGUGGUGCCAUCUUGGCUCACUGCAACCUUUGCCUCCCAGUUACAAGCAAUUCUUCUGCCUCAUCCUCCCCAGUAGCUGGGUUUACAGGCACCCACCAUCAUGCCUGGCUAAUUUUUGUAUUUUUAGUAGAGACGGGGUUUCACCCUGUUAGCCAGGCUGGUCUUGAACUCCUGACCUCAGGUGAUCCACCCACCUCAGCCUCCCAAAGUGCUGGGAUUACAGGCAUGAGCCAUGGGUUCUGGCUAUCAAAUGUGUCUUUUGAAAAUAUUUUCUCCCAGUCUGUGCCUUGUCUUUUUCAUUCUCUUGACCAUGCCUUUCACGCAGCAGAAUAUCUUAAUCUUAAUGAAGUCCAGUUGAGCAGUUCUUUCUUUCAUGGGUCAUACCUUCAUCAUUGUAUUUAAAAACUCAUAAUCAAACCCAAGGUCAUCUGGAUUGUCUUCUGUGUCACCAUCUGGGAGUGUUACAAUUUUGCAUUUUACAUUUAGGUCUGUGAUCAAUUUUGAGUUAAUUUUCGUGAGUAAUGUCUGUUUCCAGAUUCAUUUGUUUGCCUGUGGAUAUCUAGUUGUGCAGUACUAUCUGUUGAAAAGACUAUCUUUGCUGCAUUGUAUUGCCUUUUUCCUUUGUUGGCAGUGGUUCUUAAGGUGUGGCCCAUGGACUUCUGGGGGUCCCCAAUACCAUUUCAGCAAGUUUUUUAGUUCAAAACUAUUUUCAUAUACUAAGACAUUAUUUGCCUUUUGUAUUUUUAUUCUUUCACCACCGUACAGUGGAGUUUUCCAAAGGCUAUAUGAUGUGUGAUAUUGCAACAGAUUGAAUGUAGUAGCAGAUCAUGAGAAUUCAACUAUUUCCUAUCAAGCCACAUACUAAAGUUUUGCUAAGCUGUGAAACAAUGCCACCCUUAUAAAUUGUGGGUUUUUUUUUUAAUGUAGUUAUUUCUCAAAUGAAUUAAUGUUGAUAAAUUUCUCAGUUUCAGUUUCUAACACAGUAAAUAUUGAUAGAGAACCCCCACAUAAAAGCUCUUUGGUGUCCUCAAUUUUAAAAGCGUAAAGGUUCUGAGACUAAAAAUACACCUUUAGGAAUGCGUAUGUAUUAGAGGGGACAAAAGCGUACUCAAAGAGGAACUAGAUUUAAGAGAUAUUUUGAACUCUCAGAGUAAUUUUGGAUUUGACUUUGUAGGUAACAGUGCCCCAACUUUUGGAAGAUUUCAAGCAAGAGAUGUGACAUAAUCUCUUAGGUCUACUUUAUGUCCAUAAGUAGAUUGGAAGGAGUGUUCAAUAUGACUUGGAAAGGAAACUGCUGGGUCAAAAAAGUCUAACACUAAUAUCUAACUUUUUUUUCCCAAUGGCCUUACAGAUUAGUUGCUAAUUGGAACUCUUGAUUAUUUGUCCUCAUUUUUUCUUUAAUAUUAAAACUAUUUUUUUUAUUUUUCGGUAAGCCAGGCAGGUUAGGUAUCACUUAUGCCAGGUUCUUGACUACCAAAUCAUUAGCCUUUGCACAUGUGAUUCCUUGGACUAGAUAGAGACGGGGUCUUGCUCUCUCACCCAAGCUGGAGUAUAGUGUCAUGAUCAUGGCUUACUGUAACUCUGCACUCCUGGGCUCAAGGGAUUCCCUGGCCUCAGCCUCCUGAGUAGGUAGGACUACAGGUGUGUGCCAUCCAUCAAGCCCUGCUAAAGAGAAAGGGGCUCUUCCCUAGGCUGAUCUCAAACUACUGGCCUUGGUUUCCCAAAGCUCUAGGAUUGUAGGUGUGAGCCACCAUGCUGGGCCUCUUCUAAACUUUCUUUGCCUUGCUUCCAUUAAUAAUCACAUUUACAGCAGCCUCUUUCAUAAAAACAUCACUGAAUAACUUCCCUUGGUCCUGUCAGCCCAACAUUAUUCUUAAAAUUUUUAAGUUUCAAAUAUUGUUAAACUGUAGUUGCUGUCUUUCUUUUAUCUAUAUUGGGUGUAUGCUCAUUUCCUCCAUGGAAUAGGAACUGUGUUCUGUAUUGUUCUCUGUCUCUUCAAGUGCCUAGUCAGCAACCCCAUGGGUGCUCAGCAAAUAUUGAAUGGUUAUACAUAACUUCCCUUCGUAGCUCAGACUAUUCCAUGAACAAUUUAUGGACAUAAAAAUCUAUUCCAGUAGACAUUUAAGGAUAUUUUUAUGGUGAGAAUGGAAAUUUCCUGGUUACAAAUUUAUAUAUAGAGUCAGUAACGUUGAUAAAAAUGUAACAAAUUACUGUUUCAUGGAACUUAGGAGUCAUUAAGAGGUGUUUUUUGUUUAGAUACAAGAUAGUGUCUUCCAAAAUGUUCCUUCAAAAUUUUUGUAGCUGCUCCAUUUGAACACUAUAUUAAAAUGCACAUUUUUGAGGACAUAUUCUUAAAAUUAGGAAUGUAAUUUUAAGAAUUAAAGAGAGGACUAGAAAUAGAUGUGAAGUGUUUAUCAGAGCUGCUUCCUUGCACGACUACAGGAGGUGCCUAUCACACCUUUUUGUGUGAAAGGUACCUCCUAGAGUGUAACUACAGUAGACUCAUUUUUGAUAUAAGACAGGAUAAAUAAAGCGCACGUAACAGAUGAUAUCAAAUAAAAGAAAAGAAAUGUCUGUUUUAGAAGGAAGCUGUAUGAGAUCCGAGGCACAGGUUAGGGUGGUAGUAGCGAUGGUGGUAAAAAUAUGAUCUCUUAAUCUAGAUUAUUACUUAAUCAGUAAAUUGAUUCCAGGGGCUAGUGGGAAUUGCUGAAAGUUUCCUUUGAACACAUGGAAUUUUUAGCAGUGAUUUGAGAAAUGGUGCUGGUAUUUAUAGCCAUACAUGAAAACAUCCUAGGGAACCCAAGUCUUAAUCAAGGGGCAGCUCUUCCAAGUAGUGGUUGAGGAAGUUGGGCAUACUUUCCAAAACUUUUUUCCUCACUAAAGAUUGCAGGUAUACUCUGCAAGUGACUUCACAGGACAUAUUAUUUUAAUGUAUAUAUUUGGUUGUCAUAUUUUAAUGUAUAUAUUUCUGCUGAUUAUAGGUCUCAUGUGACUAUAAGCUCUCUGAGAACAAGAGUCAUGGGGGAUGUGUGUGCAGUUAAAAUUUUAUGUGCUGAUAAUAGUUAUCUUCUGGAUGUUUAAGAAAUAUGAAUGUGUACUGUAUUUUAAAUACUCUUAUAUGUAAACAUUUUAAUGUGAUUUAAGUAUAUAUCAAAAAGUAAAUAGGUGGUAUUCACACUGCAGAGGGAUUGGCAAGUCUUUUUGAUAUACGUCAAAUAAUUGUUUGCAGAAAUUUGACUCGUAUUGUAUUGACUACUUUGAAAUAUUAGUAGUUAACUAAUUUAAAGCUAAGAUGAAGAGGAUAUUUUGAAGUGAGAUGAUAAAUAUAUGCAGUUGUCCUUUAGUAUCCCUAGGGGAUUGGAUCCAGGAUGCUCAAAUCCCUGAUGUAAAAUGGCAUCGUUUGCAUAUAACCUAUGUACAUCCUCGGUAUACUUUAUCUCUUGGUUACUUAUAAUACCUAAUACAAUAUAAAUGGUAUGUAAACAGUUGUUACACUGUAUUGUUUAGGGAGUGACAAGGGAAAAAGUCUGUACAUGUUCAGUAGAGAUGCGUUUUUUUUGGGUGCAUGUUUUUGAUUCCUGGUUGAAUCAUAAUGGAACCCAUUGAUAGGAGGACUAACUGUGUGUACACACACACACAAUUUCCUUUUUUUGUGGUUUUUAAUUUAUUUUUUUCCAUUUAGAGUACGCAUUUUUUUCACAGUUUUAAAAUUGAGACAUAAUUUACAUAACAUAAAAUUCAGUUUUAAAGUAGACAGUUCAGUGGUAUUUAGUAUGUUCACAGUGUUGUGUGCAACUAUCACCAUUAUGUAACUCUAGAACAUUUUCCAUCACCAAGAAAGAGAUCCCCUAUCUGUUAGCAGUCACUCCUAAGCUCUCCCCUGACCCCUGUAACCACUAAUCCACUUUCUGUCUAUGAAUUUUUCUUUUCUGCACGUUUCAUUUUAAUGGAAUCAUACAAUAUGUGGCCUUUUGUGCCUGGCUUCUUUCAGUUGUAAUGUUUUAAAGAUUUAUCCUUGUAGCACAUAUCAGUACUUUAUUCAUUUUUAUAGCUGAAUAAUACUCCCUUGUAUGGAUAACCCUCAUUUCAUUUAUACCUUCAUUAGUUGGUGGGUUGUUUAGCCAUUUGGGCUAUGAAGAAUAAUACUGUGUGAACAUUCAUAUACAAGUUUUUGUGUGAACAUAUUUUCAGUUCUCUUAGGUAUACUUCUAGGAGUAAAAUUGCUGGGUCAUACGGUAAUUCUGUUUAAACUUUUCGAGGAACUACCAAACUGUUUUCCACAGCAGUGACACCAUUUUAUAUUUCCAUCAGCAAUGUAUAAAGGUUCCUAUUUCUCAUCUUCUUUCUUGCCAAACUUGUUACUUUCAGGAUUUUUGGUUUUUUUGAUAUUUAAAAAAUAGUCGUUCUGUUGGAUGUGAAGUGUUACAUCAUUGUGAUUUUGGUUUCCAUUUCCCUAAUAAUCUCUUUAUGUGCUUGUUGGCCAUUUGUAUAUCUUAGGGAAAAUAUCUAUUCAAGAUUUUUUGCCUGUUUUACAAUUCGAUUUUUAUGCAUUCUGGGUACUAGAAGAGUACAUACUUUGCAUACUAGAUCUUUAUAUGAUUUGUGUUUUUUUCCCCCAUUCUGUGGCUUGUCUUGUCACUUUCUUGAUACAGUGUCUUUUAAUGUACAAAAGUUUUAAAUUUUGAAGUCUAAUUGUUCUGGGAUUUUUUUUUUUUUUGAGACAGAGUCUUGUUCUGUCACCCAGGCUAGAGUACAGUGCUGUGAUCUUGGCUCACUGCAACUUUUGCCUCCUGGGUUCAAGCAACCAUUCCAUCUCAAUCUGCUGAGUAGCUGGGACAACAGGCGUGUGGUACCAUGCCUGGCUAAGUUUUUUGUAUUUUUAGUAGAGAUGGGAUUUUACCAUGUUGACCAGGCUGGUCUCGAACUCUUGACUUCCAGUGAUUCACCUGCCUUGACCACCCAAAAAGCUGGGAUUGCAGACGUGAGCUACGGUGCCCAGUCUCUGGUUUUUUUGAUUGUGCUUUUGAUAUCAUACGAAGAAAUCGUGGGCUAAUUCAAGGUUAUGCACAUUUACACCUGUUUCCUUCUAAGAGUUUUAGGAAGAAAUUUUAGCUCUUAGAUUUAGGAUUGAUCAAUUUUGAGUUAACUUUUAUAUAUGGUAUGAUGGAACAUUUAUAUCCAAAGAUAUUUGAGUUUUUAAUCUUUUGAAGUUGACAUGGAAUGCAGUUCUUCUACCUCUGUGUAAUGUGGAGAUGGAAUUGUGCAUGAUAAAAACAUUACUUGAUGGCAGUCUCCAGGACUGGGCAUCGUUGAUGGAUAACUGGAAUUUUGGGUCAUUGUUUUAGCCGGAUGAACCACUUAAUCUGAUCCAGUGUAUAGUUUUAAUGUUCUCAAAAUAAGUCUUUUAGAUAUAUGGAGAGGUAAGAAAUAGUUGCAUCAAUAAGUUGUUUUGGUCCACACAGAAUAGUGUCAUUGUAUGCUCCCAUAGUAUAUAUAUAUAUUUUUUGAAAUAGAGUUUCACUCUUGUUGCCCAGACUGGAGUGCAGUGGUGCCAUCUAGGCUCGCUGCAACCUCCGCCUCCUGUGUUCAAGCAAUUCUCCUGCCUCAGCUGGGAUUACAGAUGUAUACCACCUUGCCUGACUAAUUUUGUAUUUUAGCAGAGGUGGGGUUUCAGCAUAUUGGCCAAGCUGGUCUUGAACUCCCGACCUCAGGUGACUCCCCCCACAUCAGCUUCCCACAGUGCUGGGAUUACAGGCAUGAGCCACCAUACCUGGCCAAUAAGCAAUUUGCUAGACAUGGUGGUGCAUGCCAGUAAUCCCAGCUAAAAUGCAAUACUAAAAAUACAAAAUUUGCUGGACGUGGUGGCGCAUACCUGUAAUCUCAGUUACUCUGGAUGCUGAGGCGGGAGAUUAACCUGGGAGUCAGAGGUCGGGGUGAGCCAAGAUUGUGCUAUUGCACUCCAGCCUGGGCAACAAGAGCGAAACUCUAUCUCAGGGAAAAAAAAAAAAAAAGUGACACUUGAUCCUUAAAAAGGAGCAUGAGGUCUAAUAGUAAAAUGUGCAAACUAAUGGAAAUAUAUUGAGAUAAAUGCAUAAUAACUUUUUACAUAAAGAUCAAAGUAGGAGAGAGUAAUUAACUUUGAAGGAGGUUAGUAAAGACUUCACAGAAGAGGUAACAGGUUUCUUCUAAAUUAGCAUAACCAGUGACAUGGAGGCAAAAAAGCACAUUAUGGUGUGUUUGUGGAAACCUUUGAAUAGUUGUCUGUGGUAGAAUACAAAGUGUUAAUGGGAGUAGGGGAUGUGAGGCUGGAGAGAGGGAGGCCUUAAAGGAGCAGGAGUUCUCUUGAUAGACUCUGGGCUCUUCAGUGUCAUCUUCCAUCUUCAUUUUAGGGCCCCCCCUUUCUCCCAUUAUUAGCUGAUUUACUAGCUUUAGAUGACAGUACCGUGAAACUAGCAAAGUAUUUUUUCCUUUUCCCAUACAGUUUGUAGUGGGGUUGUUGAGAAAGGUAAGAAAGAAGGAAUGCAUGAUUCUGUUGGCACGUGUGCAGGGGGCUAAGUAUACCUUACCACCCAAAGUUGGUGUUGUUAUACAUAGUGUUUGGGUCUCCACAUAAAUAAAAUCAGGUUUACUGUGAAUUUAUGGCUUUUGUGGACUUGUCUGGUGAUUGAGCAUUUUUUGAGUUCCAAAUUUAUGAAUGAACUUAAACACAAACUAUCCUACUGGGUGAUAGUAUGAAUAAAAACAAUUUGUUAAAUCAGUUUAAAGUUAGUAAGAAUCUUGAUGGCUUGUUUGAUUUAGUUAGUGACUUUUAUAUAUCUGAAAAUGAUAUAUUGUCAUGUGUGCAUUUUUAAAGCUGGAUCUCUACCACACAAGGCAUUGUUAGUCUUGGCUGGGUGUGGUGGCUCAUGCCUAUAAUUCCAGCACUUUGGAGGCCAAGGUAGGCAGAUCAAUUGAGCCCAGGAGUUUGAGACCAGCCUGGAUGACGUAGUGAAACCCAAUCUCUACUGAAAAUAUAAAAAUUCACUGGGCAUGGUGACACACACCUAUAGUCCCAAGGCUGAAGUGGGAGGAUUACUUGAGCCUGGAAGGCAGAAGUUGCAGUGAGCCGAGAUCAUGCCAAGCAAUUCUUGCCUUGGUGACAGCAAAACCCUGUCUCAAAAAAAGGACUUUGUUGAACUUAUGGAAAUUAAUAUGCUCAUUAGCAUUACAUACUGAGUCUUGUUAAAAGAAAACUUUAGACAAAUUAAAUUUAGCAGUUAAUUUGAGCAAAGAAACAAUUCAUGAAUUGGGCAGCACCCCGAAGCAGAAAAGGUUCAGAGAGCCCUGCCUAGCAAUGUGGAUAGUCAGUAUUCAUACACAGAAAAAUAAGUGACAUCCACACAUAGCCUGAUUGGUUACAGGUCCAUGUUUGCCUUAUUUGGACAUGUCUGAGCAGUUUGCAGCUUGUGAUUGACUGAAAGCUUGGCUGCUUGUUAGAAGAAUAUACUCAAAUUAGGUUGCAGUUUUAAUAUACUGAAGUGCAGUUCACUGCUUAUGGAAGCAGCCUUAGACCAAAUUUAGUUAAGUGUCACUAUUAAGGUUGCAUUGAGAUUAUUGAGAAAUCCGAGUGCAAAAACACUAAUCUGUCCUCAGUUUAGUAGGGAAGAUGGCAUAUGCAGAUAGCUGUAUUGCCAAACAAUGUGAGAUAAGUACAGAUCAAGUGACAUUAAAAAUCAGAGGAGAUACUGCUUUUGAUAAGGGAAGAAAACUGGACCUUAAAUGAUAAAUUAUUAGGAGCACUAGGCAUGUCAGGUGGAGGAAAGAGCAUGAGCAAACACUUGUAGACAGGAAGCUGAAUUUGUGAGGAACAAAGAAAUGUGUUUGUAAAUGGGGUGCUUUCGGAUUGUGAGAGGGGGACAGGUUGGGUGCAGUGAGAAAUUGAGUUGGAGCAAUUCUGAGGCUAGAUUGUGAAGGAAGAAUGACUUAAUUAUAUGACCUUUAUAUAUAGCUUUUUGGCUACUGUAGGUAAAGUUGGACCAUAGUUAGAGCCAGUUUUUCAAAAUUACACUUUAUCUGUAGUUUCUGCUGCCAGUGUGAAAACAGGAAAGGCAAGGAGUUUUGCUGAUCUUGAAGCUGAGGAUGAGAUUUUGCUGCCUCAAGCUUUUUAUAUCAGCUUUAUUAUAGACUCAAUUAAUGGUGGGCAAUUACUGAGAUUUGGGGGAUUUCUGAGUGUCUAGAUUGCACAGGAAUCAUUGAAGAAGUCUUCUCAACAAAAGUAACAUAAAUCUAACUUUCAUCUGAAGGUAGAAAUUUUAAAAAGAAAGGAAACCUUUCAUUCUUCAGGGAUUCACAAAAUCUGAUAAAAAUUGGGGAAUUAGUCCAUUCUCAUGCUGCUGUGAAGAAAUACCCAAGACUGGGUAAUUUAUAAAGAAAAAAGGUUUAAUUGACUCACAAUUCUGCGUAGCCGGGGGGGCCUCAGGAAGCUUACAAUUAUGGCAGAAGGGGAAGCAAAUGCAUGUUCUUCAUAUGGUUGCAGGAGAGAGAAGUGCCCCUUAUAAAACCACCAGAUUUCAUGAGAACAGCAUGGGAGAAACCAGCCACAUCAUUGAAUUAUCUCCACCUGGUCCCAUCCUUCAUGUGGGAAUUAUUACAAUUCAGGGUGAGAUUUGGGUGGGGACACAGAGCCAACUGUUAACAGUUGGUUUAGUUAGGAUAUAACGUACAAAAUGGGGAGAAUAGCUCACCUUUAAGGAAACCUUUCUAGGUCUUGGGCAAUUGACAUGCAUUAUUAACACAAUAUUUAUACAAACCUAUUUAUCAGUAGACUUAUUGGCUAUUCCAGAUACUUAAACUAAAACACUAUUAAAAAGAAGACAUAGAGAAUAAAUCUAACAUUUAGAUGGCAGUGAAGAACCUCAGCUAGAGGUCAGAUAAUCUGAAGGAGAGCCUCUUAGCUCACAGAAACUUACACAGAAUGUGUAGAUAAAUAGGAGAGAGCUUUCUUUGAGAACUAUAAUUUCUGUAAAUAUGUAAGAUUGCAUUUUGAGAUGUCAACUUCAUACUUCUUCUGUUUGUUUGUUUUUGAGAUGGAGUCUCACUCUGUCACCCAGGCUGGAGUGCAGUGGCCCAGUGUCAGCUCAUUGCAACCUCUGCCUGCCGGGUUCAAGUGAUUUUUCCUGCCUCAGCCUCCCAAGCAGCUGGGACUUCGGGCACAUGCUACCAUGCCCAGCUGAUUUUUGUAUUUUUAGUAGAGAUGGGGUUUCACAAUGUUGGCCAGGCUUGUCUGGAACUCUUGAGGUGAUCGCCCACCUCAGUCUUCCAAAGUGCUGGGAUUACAUGUGUGAGCCACCAUACCCGGUGCAACUUCCUAUACUUCUUAAGAUAAAUUGUCCAUAUGCUUCAAGAGGAAUAAGCUCUAACUGGAAUAUAGGGUACUGGCCCUAGCUCCUUAUGACCUCAUAAAAAUCCAUUAGUAAAAUAGUUUAUUUUCCAAAUUGCCUUCUUUCUCUACUAUUCUCUAAUGCUAUAAUCGUGUUCCUUUAGCUUUUUGUUGUAGGCUUGGUCCUUUGGAAGUGAAGACCAGAGACAGUUUCUCUAUGAGCCUUUGCUUCAUUCUCCAUCAGAGUGUUCUGUCCCACCUACUAGGAUAUCAAUAUUCGAAAACCAGUUGGAAUUUGCAUAUCUUAACUAUCACUGGUAGGAAUAGGUGGCAUUGUCUUAUGUGAUUUUUGUUUUAGGAGGAACUGGGUAACAAAAAUGUGAAUUUUCAGCCAGGUGUGGUGCUGCAUCUCUGUAGUCCCAACUCCUCAGGCGGCUGAGGUGGGAGGAUUUCUUGAGGCCAGUGGUUUGAGGCCAACUUGUACAACAUAGCAAAACCACUAUCACAUAUAAUAAUAAAAACGUAUUUUUUUUCCAGUGUGUAUCUUGAAUGUAAAAAAAGAAAGGGAGUUUCUACCCUUAUUAAAAAUAUGUGAAUAGUAGAGACCUUUUCUCUACAAAAAUUUAAAAAUUAGCCAGAUGCAAUGGUGCAUGCCUGUAGUCCCAGCUACUCAGGAGGCUGAAGUGGGCAGAUCACUUGGACCCAGGAGUGUGAGGCUGCAGUGAAACAUGAUUGCGCCACUGCACUGCAGCCUCAGUGACAGAGCAAGUCCUUGUCUCUUAAGAAAAGAAAAAAAAACUCAUUUAAAAAAAAGUAACAUUGUUGGAGGGAAUUAAUCUUUGUGUUGUAAAUAUUCAAAUAUGAUUUUACUUUAGUUGGUUCACUCGAUCAGUUCAGACUGUUUAUGCCAGGUUUAUGAAUCUGAUACACGAAAAAGAGUGAUAAUGGUGGUAUAGAUCACAGUCUAAGUGACUAUGCUGGCUAAUUGUCUUGUAUGUGUUGGCCGUUCUUCAUUUUGGGUGAUCAGUUGAGGGGUAUAAGGAUCAUCACUAAUCCAUCACCCCAUACAUGCUCUACCAUAGUGACAUCAUUCUAAAAUUAUUAAGUGAUGAAUUUAUGGAUAAUUGCUUCGCCUUAUUUUCAUCUCUUAAUUUUAAUUCUCUAGAAACACAUAUAAACAUAAUCAUUGUUGCCAGGAUCCUUAAUUUAAUUUGCAUGAUGGAAGGACUGUGUUUCUUAAAUUACAUGUAUACUGUGUAUAUGUUUUGUAGAACGGGGAACUGCAUUUAUCUGUUUAGUAGUAGAACUCUGUAAUAGGUCAAGGCUGCAUCAGUUUUUUUUAGAUGUAAUUGCUUGUACAUUUUUGGCUUACAGCCUUUUGUGUACCAGUGACAAGCCAUUAAGAGCCAAAAAAUUUGCUUUUACUUACCGUACAUCUACAUCUAGUUUUGACUUAUUUGUCAAAAAAGGGUGAACUUUCUUUUUGGCCUUUUUUUUUUUUCCUUUUAUGACUUGAAAUUAAAUAAGCAACUUAUUGAUGUAGUGUUUUGUUUUUGUUUGUUUUUGUUUUUUGAGAUAGAGUCUCACUUUGUAGCCCAGGCUGGAGUGCAGUGGCGCAACUCGCCUCACUGCAACCUCUUACCUCCCGGAUUCAAGUGAUUAUCCUGCCUCAACCUCGCGAGUAUCUGGGAUUACAGGCACUCACACCAUGCCCAGCUAAUUUUUAUAUUUUUAGUAGAGACAGGGUUUUGCCACGUUGGUCAGGACUUCAAGGCCAACAUGAUGAAACCCUGAGAUCGCACCACUACAUUCCAGCCUGGGCGACUGAGUGAGACACCAUCAUCUCAAAAAAAAAGAAAAAAGAAAAAAAUGAAUUUCACUACGUACAGUUACUGACUUUAUUUCAGGUGAGCUGUCAUGGGGGAAUUUGUCUGGUUUUGAUAUGUAAGGUUGGUGUGAAGAUUUAUUGAUAUAUACAAAAUGGAGUGGGUUUCUCUGCAAUGAAUUAAAACUGAAUAUCCAAGAGAAAAUAAGUUUACACAGUAGUUGCAUUUGAUCUUUUGGUAUGGAACUGGAGUAAAGUUCUGGUUUGUUUUUUGUUUUUUUUGAGACAGAGGCUUAUUUUGUUGCCUAGGCUAAAGUGCAGUGGAGUGAUCUCAGCUCACUGCAACCUCUGUUUUCUGGGUUCCAGCGAUUCUCAUGCCUCAGCCUCCUGAGUAGCUGACAUUCUUAUGCCUCAGCCUCCCGAGUAGCUGGACAUGGUGUGCACCACCAUGUCCAAAUAAUUUUGUAUUUUUAGUAGAGACACGCUUUUGCCGUGUUGGCGAGGCCGGUCUCGAACUCCUGGCAUCAUGUGAUCCCCUGCCUCAGCCUUCCAAAAUGCUGGGAUUACAGGUAUGAGCCACUGCACCUGGCCCUCUGGUUUUUUCUUUAUGUGAUCACUUUGCCUCUGUUUUCAGAAUUGGAAGAUAUAAUCACAUUAUCCUUAUUCCCAUUUGUACAUUUCCUUUUUGAAGUAAAACCAGCUGUUUGAUGACUGAGAAGUUAGGGUUUAGCAGACAAUAUUUCUCUAUUUUUCUUUUCUCAACAUUAGCUUUAGUAACUUUUCUUCACACAACUAUGUAUUUAUAUAUUCAUUAUCAGGUUUGGAAUUUGUGUUGGAUAUUAAUUUAAGAUCUUAGACUUUAUAGAGUAUUCAUCUGGUUAUUUGUCAUUUUUGUUUGUCAUAUUCUUGCAAAAUACUGUUUGACUUGCUGACCUAGAAUGGAUCAAGGCAUUAUCUUCAGGUAGUUUCUGUAGCCCAUCCCUGAAACACUGCUUGGCAUAGCUGAGUGGCAAUGAAGAACAGCCAUAGUUAGUAACUUAAAAAUUAGCUAUAGAAUUGCAACUGGCAGCUAAGUUAGAAAGCUAUUUAUAGAGCAGCUUGGGAUACUAAGAUAUUCCUUGACUGCCUAAAGGUGCAAGUGCAGGGAGAGAACCAUUUCUUCCUAUCAGGAGAUUGGAAACCUUUUUUUUUUUUUGAGACAGAGUUUCGUUCCCCAGGCUAGAGUGCAAUGGUGCUAUCUCAGCUCACUGCAACCUCCACCUCCUGAGUUCAAGUGAUUCUCCUGCCUCAGCCUCCCAAGUAGCUGGGAUUACAGGUGCCUGCCACAAUGCCUGGCUAAUUUUUUGUAAUUUUAGUAGAGAUUGGGUUUCACCAUGUUGACCAUGCUGGUCUUGAACUCCUAACCUCAGCUGAUCUGCCUGCCUCAGCCUCCCAAAGUGCUAAAAUUACAGGUGUUAGCCACCACACCCAGCCUGAAACCUUUUAAGAGAGAAACUUACUAAUAAGUUGCUUCCUAUCCUUGGGCUUAUAGACUUAGUCUAGAAUUGAUUUUUGUUUGACUUUCUUCAUCAGAGUUAUGUUUUCCUAACUUAAUGACUAACUAAGAAUGUGUUCCAACUUUUGAGGCCUCUUUUAACAUAGUUUACCCCUUCUGCUAUUACUUAGAAUUGAUAGUAAUUACAUCGGUAGGGCAAAAGAUGACUGGAAAAUUGCCCUAUGUUUUUCUCAUUAAAAUCAUAAAAGACCUGUUCAUCUAAAAUCUGGUGAGUUAUUUUAGUUUGUUCUUUGACAUUCUUGACUUCUUUAAACUUGCUUAUAAAUUAAGGCUUGCAGUUUGAGUCAUUUGGAGACGGGGAAUGCCCAGAACUUUUGAAGUUUGUGAACUUGAGUUGAAUAUUGUGUCUCUUUCCUCAUAUUCUGUCAACUUUAGUUCACUAUAGCCACAAUGAAGAUGAUGAUGCCAAUGAGGAUAUACAAAACCAGACAAGAUGUGGCCUACCAUAUAUGCUAGAAUUAGAUUUGUGAGAACUAAACACAACACUGAAUUUGUGAGCAUGUGUGGAGUUUAGAGUAAUUAGAGGAAGUGAUAACAAGUCUCACUCAGACCACAUGGAAAUUGGGGGAGAGUUUGUAUGUGUAGUGUAUGUGUAUCUUCAUCUAUCCCGCUAGUAGAAAGGUUACUGUUUGAAAAAUGUAGUUCCAACACAGCCACUAGUUUGUGCUGCUUUAAACAAGUAUUUAAAUCUUUACAACAGAGAUAAUUAUAACAGAGCAUUCCUUGCCUUGUAACAAGGCUGUUGGUACAAUUGGAAGACUAGGGGUAUGAACGAAUUUUGUAAUCUAUAAAGAAAUCUUGGCCAGGCAUGGUGGCUCAUGCCUGUAAUCUGAGCACUUUGGGAGGCGGAAGCAGGAGGAUCACUUAAGGCCAGGAGUUUGAGACCUGCCUGGGCAACAUACUGAGACCUUGUAGCUACAGAAAUUUUAAAAAUUAGCUGGAUGUGGUUGCAUGCAUCUGUAGUCCUAGCUACUUCAGUCUGGGUGACCGAGCAAGACCCUGUCUUUAUUUAAAAAGAAAGAAAGGAAGAAAUCGUAUGUGCAUUAUAACAGUUUUGCCACUCUUAAGAUUUAGUGCAAGUAUCUAUGGUAGCACUUCCCAGUUGAUGAAGAAAUUGGGCAUUAGAUAAUGAAGGUUUUGCAGAAGUAAUUGAGUUUGAGGAAUUUUCAUAAUAUGGUAUAGGAAAGGUGGUAGAGAAAUUAUCUCCUAAAAUUAGGGAAAACAUAAAUACAAAAUGAUGGUAAUAAAAAAAUAAAAGUAUUUGUAAUGGUGCUUUAAAGCUUAUAAAGUACCCUAUCACCCUACUUAACCACGAUGUUGUGAAAAUUAAGUAUUAAUCCUAUUUUUUAAAUGUAGAAAUGAAAACUGAGUGACUAAUUAAAUGCCUGAAAUCACAGUGAACCAUGAAUCUCAAAUUUGAUCCUAGAUUCUUCUGCUCAUUCUGAUAUGUUGCUUAGUCCUGUUACAGUAUUGUUGUAGCACAUGGAAAUGUAUGGGACCAAGCAUGGAAGCAGGAGAGUCUAGAGCAGAACUUCAGUGAUGGUAAAUUAAAAUCUUCAUCAUCAGUAUUUGAAGCCCAGAUUGAAAAUGAAUAGUACUUAGGACAGACUACCAAAUAAAUGUGAGCCAGAAGAUUUUUAAUAGGGGGAAAUUGAAUGAAACAUCUUACAGAAAGAGCUAAAAAUGGCUGAGCACGGUGGCUCACAUCUGUAAUCCCAGCACUUUGGGAAGCCGAGGCAGAUGGAUCAUGAGAUCAGGAGUUCAAGACCAGCCUGGCCAACAUGGUGAAACCUCAUCUCUGCUAAAAAUACAAAAAUCAGCCCGGUGUGGUGGUGCAUGCCUGUAAUUUCAGCUGCUCAGGAGGCUGAGGCAGGAGAAUUGCUUGAACCUAGGAGGCGGAGGCUGCAGUGAGACGAGAUCAUGCCACUGCACUCACCUGGGCGACAGAGUGACUCUGUCAUGGGGGGGAAAAAAAAGAGCUAAUAACAAGACACUUUCCAAUCCCAGUCACUCUGGAGGGUAUCUAACAUAAAAGUGAAAAAAACUAGUUAAAUGUUUUCCAGUGUUUGUCAAGUUUAGGAAUAGAUUAACUUGAAAAGUUGGGUAGAUUUGUUUGAAGAUCCUUUGCAAUCAUAGCAAAAAAUAAAAAAAUGUUGAAAGAUUGGUAUUGUAGAAUGAUGGGAGAAAGGUGAUUACAUUUUCCUUCCUAUUUGUCUAGACCACUUAAAGUUUAUAUUGCUUUCUCACACAAGCCAAGAUAAGAAUACAUUCUUUAAGAAAUAUAGGAGAUUCUUCAUAUAUCCAUUCAUAGAUAGAAUGUGGUUUUGAAAACAUAUGGGAUAUUAUUUAAAUAUAGAUCUAUAUAAAGAUAUACAGAAGAUACUUUAUAAUUCCUUUUAAGAAAGGCAUUUUUCAGGAAAUGAAGUUGUCAGACUUUUUAAUGCUGAGAAAUAGGUGAUGUGGGUUAAAUGGAGUCUUUUUUUAAAAAAAAUUUUCAAGACAGGGUCUCACUGUUUCCUAGUCUGGAGUUCAGUGGCUAUUCACAGGUGUCAUCAUUGCAUACUACAGCCCAAACUCUUGGGCUGAAGUGAUCCUCCCAGUUCAUCCUGAGUAGCUGGGACUACAGGUGCAUACCACUGUACUUUGCUAGGAAUCUUAUAAGAACAGUUGUAUGAUCAUGAGGUGUGUGAAGAUAGAUAUUUAUAGAUAUUUUUUGCCCUGGUGAUUAUUUCUUCUUGUAAAAUAAUCCUAUUGAUUUUUCCUUCUUGUAGAAACUUAAGGGCUUCAGAUUAAACUUACUAGGAAAAAUACUUUGGUUUUAUUUUAUGAUGAUUUAUUAAUGGCUUCAAUAUUAAUAAUGUAUUAAAAUUGCUCAUAUUUUCCACUUACCGAGUAUUAUUUCAAAAUUUAAAGCCAUGUAGAUAGGUUAUUAUUUGGUGCUACAUCUGCCGUUACUGCCGUUGGGUUCCAGCAGUUUGAAAAAGGAUUUUUCAGAAAUGGCUUUCACUUGUUACCCAGUGGCUUACGGCAGCAGUCCCCAACCUUUUUGGCACCUGGGACUGGUUUCAUGCAAGACAGUUUUUCCAUGGACUGGCAGGAAGGGGGUGUGUAGUGGGAUGGUUUGGGGAUGAAACUGUUCCACCUCAUAUCAUCAGUCAUUAGAUUCUCAUAAAGAGUGCACAACCUAGAUUCCUUUCAUGUGCAGUUCACAAUAGGGUUUGCUCUCCUAUGAGAAUCUAAUGCCCCCAUUGAUCUGACAGGAGACAGCGCAGGCAGUAAUGCUUGCUAGCUCACCAGCCAGUGUGGCCCAGAUCCUAACAGGUCAUGAACCAGUAACCAUCCAUAGCUUGGGGUUUGGGAACCCCUGGCUUACAGGGUCUUUGGAUGCUUGCUUGCCACAGGUAUGUCACUUAAGCGGGUGUAAUGAAUGGCUGGUGUAAUUUUGACUCAAAGUGAACAGUUCAUUUUAAUUGUGAAAUGUGUAAAUAAAUAAAUGAGAUUUCCGCUGUCUUUAGUACUAUAUACAUAAAACUAGAGGCUUUGCAAAAUUACCAAGAGAAGAUCCUGUUUGAUGUAUCUUUGGUUUAGCAUGGGUGAAGCAGACAUGUGAGAUACAGAAUGAAUGGGAGGCCUUCAUGCUCACUAUGUGGAAGGUGGUAGUUGAUCAGGAUGGUCAGUUCCACUCCAGGCCAUUGGUGGCACACUACCACUGUUGCCAUAAUUCUCAAAAGUCAUUUUAUGCGGAGCUCCUUCCUAGCAA